rnacentral:rRNA from 1 species
CAGCACCACAAGUGGUCAGGAUGAUUAUUGGGCCUAAAGCAUCCGUAGCCGGCGCUGUAAGUUUUCGGUUAAAUCUCUACGCUCAACGUACAGGCUGCCGGGAAUACUGCAGCGCUAGGGAGUGGGAGAGGUAGACGGUACUCGGUAGGAAGGGGUAAAAUCCUUUGAUCUAUUGAUGACCACCUGUGGCGAAGGCGGUCUACCAGAACACGUCCGACGGUGAGGGAUGAAAGCUGGGGGAGCAAACCGGAUUAGAUACCCGAGUAGUCC